AUCAACGCUGGCGGCGUGCCUCAGACAUGCAAGUCGAACGCGAAAGUCCCCUUCGGGGGGCAAGUAGAGUGGCGCACGGGUGAGUAACACGUAGGUAAUCUACCUUUGGAUGGGGAAUAACAACCGGAAACGGUUGCUAAUACCGCAUAAUGCAGCGGCACCUAAUGGUGACAGUUGUUAAAGCGGGGGAUCGCAAGACCUCGCGUCUGAAGAGGAGCCUGCGGCGGAUUAGCUAGUUGGUAAGGUAACGGCUUACCAAGGCGAUGAUCCGUAGCCGGCCUGAGAGGGCGGUCGGCCACACUGACACUGACGUACGGGUCAGACUCCUACGGGAGGCAGCAGUCGGGAAUUUUGGGUAAUGGGCGAAAGCCUGACCCAGCAACGCCGCGUGAAGGAUGAAAUCCCUCGGGAUGUAAACUUCGCAAGAACGGGAAGAAUAAGUAAGGGUUAAUAUCUCUUACGAUGACGGUACUGUUUGUAAGCUCCGGCUAACUCCGUGCCAGCAGCCGCGGUAAUACGGGGGGAGCAAGCGUUGUUCGGAUUUACUGGGCGUAAAGGGCGCGUAGGCGGCCACCGCAAGUCGACUGUGAAAUCUCCGGGCUUAACCCGGAACGGUCAGCCGAUACUGCGGGGCUAGAGUGCAGAAGGGGCAACUGGAAUUCUCGGUGUAGCGGUGAAAUGCGUAGAUAUCGAGAGGAACACCUGCGGCGAAGGCGGGUUGCUGGGCUGACACUGACGCUGAGGCGCGAAAGCUAGGGGAGCGAACGGGAUUAGAUACCCCGGUAGUCCUAGCCUUAAACGAUGAAUGCUUGGUGUCUGGGGUUUUAUAGUCCCCGGGUGCCGUCGCUAACGCUUUAAGCAUUCCGCCUGGGGAGUACGGUCGCAAGGUUAAAACUCAAAGGAAUUGACGGGGGCCCGCACAAGCGGUGGAGCAUGUGGUUCAAUUCGACGCAACGCGAAGAACCUUACCUGGGCUAGACAACGGAGGACAGCUCCAGAGAUGGGGUCUUCCCUUCGGGGACCUCCGGUUCAGGUGCUGCAUGGCUGUCGUCAGCUCGUGUCGUGAGAUGUUGGGUUAAGUCCCGCAACGAGCGCAACCCCUUGCCCCUUAGUUGCUAACCAUUCGGGUUGAGGCACUCUAGGGGACUGCCGGCGAUCAAGCGCGAGGAAGGUGGGGAUGACGUCAAGUCCUCAUGGCCCUUCACUGUCCAUGGGCUACACACGUGCUACAAUGGGCGGUACAAGGGAUGCGAAAGGCGCAAGGGGCCCAGCCAAUCUCAAAAAGCCGUCCUCAGUUCGGAUCGGGCUCUGCAACUCGAGCCCGUGAAGUUGGAAUCGCUAGUAAUCGUGGAUCAGCAUGCCACGGUGAAUACGUUCCCGGGCCUUGUACACACCGCCCGUCACACCAUGGGAGUUGGUUUUACCUGAAGACGGUGCGCUAACCGCAAGGAGGCAGCCGGCCACGGUAGGGUCAGCGACUGGGGGU
rnacentral:rRNA from 1 species